rnacentral:lncRNA from 1 species
GGCGCCGCGACCAGAACUGGGGGUGGCAAGUAGAGGAGGAGAGUCGGCGACGCCGCCAGAAGCUGUACGCCAGGCCGGGGCGGCGGGAGCCGCGGGAGCCAGAGAGCGGGCGCCAGGAGCGCGACAGGAGGUUCCCUGAGGAGCAGGAGCUAAGGCAGGAAAGGGAGGAGGAGCAGGCACGGGACAGGAGGUUCCGUGAGGAGCAGGAGCUGCGACAGGAAAGGGAGAGAGAGCAGGCACGGAACAGGAGGUUCCGUGAGGAGCAGGAGCUCCGUCAGGAAAGGGAGGAAGAGCAGGCACGGAACAGGAAAUUCCGUGAGGAGCAGGAGCUGCGACAGGAAAGGGAGGAAGAACAGCUGAGCCACCAGGAGCGCGACAGAAGAUUCCGAGAGCAGGAGCUCCGUCAGGAAAGGCAGGAAGAACAGGCACGGAACAGGAAAUUCCGUGAGGAAAAAGAGCUCCGACAGGAAAGGGAGAGAGAGCAGGCACGUGACAGGAGGUUCCGUGAGGAAAAAGAGCUCCGUCAGGAAAGGGAGAGAGAGCAGGCACGGGACAGGAGGUUCCGUGAGGAAAAAGAGCUCCGUCAGGAAAGGGAGAGAGAGCAGGCACGGGACAGGAGGUUCCGUGAGGAGCAGGAGCUGCGACAGGAAACGGAGGAGGAGCAGGCACGGGACAGGAGGUUCCGUGAGGAAAAAGAGCUCCGACAGGAAAGGGAGAGAGAGCAGGCACGGGACAGGAGGUUCCGUGAGGAACAGGAGCUGCGACAGGAAACGGAGGAAGAGCAGCUGAGCCACCAGGAGCGCGACAGAAGAUUCCGAGAGCAGGAGCUCCGUCAGGAAAGGCAGGAAGAACAGGCACGGAACAGAAAAUUCCUUGAGGAAAAAGAGCUCCGUCAGGAAAGGCAGGAAGAACAGGCACGGGACAGGAAAUUCCGUGAGGAACAGGAGCUCCGACAGGAAAGGGAGGAAGAGCAGGCACGUGACAGGAAAUUCCGUGAGGAACAGGAGCUCCGACAGGAAAGGGAGAGAGAGCAGGCACGGGACAGGAGGUUCCGUGAGGAACAGGAGCUGCGACAGGAAAGGGAGAGAGAGCAGGCACGUGACAGGAAAUUCCGCGAGGAACAGGAGCUGCGACAGGAAAGGGAGGAAGAGCAGCUGAGCCACCAGGAGAGCAACAGAAGAUUCCGAGAGCAGGAGCUCCGUCAGGAAAGGCAGGAAGAACAGGCACGGAACAGGAAAUUCCGUGAGGAACAGGAGCUCCGACAGGAAAGGGAGAGAGAGCAGGCACGGGACAGGAAAUUCCGCGAGGAACAGGAGCUGCGACAGGAAAGGGAGGAAGAGCAGGCACGGGACAGGAAAUUCCGUGAGGAAAAAGAGCUCCGUCAGGAAAAGCAGGAAGAGCAGGAUCGCGAAAGGAAGUUCCGUGAGGAGGAGCAGCUGCGCCACCAGGAGAAGCGGGACAGGAAAUUCCGUGAGGAGCAGGAGCUCCGUCAAGACAGGGAGGAGGAGCAGCUGCGCCGCCAGGAGCGCGACAGAAGAUUCCGUGAGGAGGAGCAGCUCCGUCAGGAAAAGCAGGAAGAGCAAUUCCGCCGCAAGGAACGCGACAUAAAAUUCCACAGGGAGCAGGAGCUGGACCGGGAAAGGGAGGAAGCGCAGCUGCGCCGCCAGAAACUUGACAGAAAAUUCAAGGAGGAGGAACAGCUCCGUCAGGAAAGAGAGGAAAAGCAGCUGCGCCGCAGGGAACGAGAGCAACAGCUUCGGCAGGAACGUGACCGAAGAUUCCGUGAGGAACAGCUCCGUCAGGAAAGGAAGGAGGAGCAGCUGCGCCAUCAGGAACGCGACAGAAGAUUCCGUGAGGAGCAGCUGCGUCAGGAAAGGGAGGAGGAGGAGCAGCUGCGCCGCCAGGAGCGGGACAGUAGAUUCCGUAAGGAGGAACAGCUCCGUCAGGAAAGGAAGGAAGAGCAGCUGAGCAGCCAGGAACGACAAGGUCGCUACCGGGCUGAGGGGCCCUUUGUCAGGGAGAAGAAUAGUCAGGAGCAAGCACUGAGGCGAGAAGAGCAGAGAAGUCUCCUAGAGCGGGAGAGGAAAUUCCAAGAAGAGCAACUCCAACGCCAAGAAGAGGAGCAAAGGCGCAGCCAAGUCCGAGACAGACAAUCCCGAGAAGAAAAAGGUGACCUGGAGACCGGCAAACGCCAGUUUGCCCAUGUUCCAGUGGUGCGCUCCAGCCCCCUCUAUGAGUACAUCCAAGAGCAGAGAUCUCAAUACCGCCCUUAAGAGCUGCUACCAACAUGCUAACACCGGCCAAAGCUUCAAGCAAAAGAAAAUGAGAAGCACUGAGUACCAAAUGAUAACUCAUGUGCUUCUGGUUGUGGGGAAACUCUGAUGUUAGAAUGUGUCUUUUCUUCCAAAAUCUUAAGCUACAUUUAAUUACUUUUUACUCCUUGCCUUUUAGUCAUCCUCUGAUAGGUCUUUACUACAAGAUGUCUUUGCUCUUUGGUGAAGAUUUGGUGUGCAUUUAAAAACAUAAAAAUCAUUUAACUUGUUUAUGGAGUUUUGUUUGAGGAACACGUUGAUGUAUUACCUUCAAAACUAACUAGAAUAAUACAACAAUUUGAGACUCAAGACAAGUCUAUUUUUAAUGGUUGACCAUAUUGUGAAGAUUUUACGUGUGUUUAAAAGUUAAAGAUGAUUUUUUUCCCUUGGAUCUAAAUUCCAUUAAUCUUUAUCUCCAAAAUGUUUUUGGUGUGUGUGUGUGUGUGUGUAUGUCAUGAUUAUCACAGAUUCCACUGAGUAAAUUUUUACAAUCCUUUAAUGAUGCAGGAGUGACUUCUGCAAGAAAAUUCUCUGUGAAAUUAGCCUAUAACUGAAAGAAAUAUUUGCUAAGAAUAAGAUUUAGCUUAAAGAUUUAGAAUUUUGGAUUUUUUUUAACAAUGAAUAGCACAUAAACACUUAAAGUCUCAUUAAGCAAAAGCAAGGUGUUUCUCAACCUCAGAGCUCAGAUUUUAAAAGUGUCUACUAUAGUUUGUAGUGCUCAGUUCUAGUCCUCCAAGUUUUGAUGGGUUUGAAAAUAUCACUUUUGUUAAUUUUAAUUUAGAGGGAACCUAAUCAGGAUCCUGUAAAUAUCUGUUUUGUUAUAGGGCCAAUAAGAAUGUGUAUUUGGAGAAAAGUGUGUGUGUGUGUGUGUGUGUGUGUGUGUGUGUGUGUGCGCACGCACAGAGGGGCAAGUUUCUAGAGGCCCUUGACAAGACUUAUCAGCCCAUAUUCCUUUAAAAACAUUACCUUGGAGAACUUCUUGCUGAAAUAAUUGGAUUGUAUGAAAACUUAAUAAAUGUUUGGCAAAUGAUUAUUUUUGUCCAUUUUAAUUAUGUGUCAAUCAUAACUCAAGGUCUAAUCAGGAAACUGACAUAACUUCCCAGUCAUGGGUAUUUUGUUUCUAUCAUCUAUGCCCAAAUAUGAAAAGGAGAGAAUCCUCUACUUUUCUCAUCCAUUUUUUCCAGUUAGAGUGAACCUUAUAUUAUUUCCAUCCUGCACUGAAGUUCUCUUUCCAAGUGUUUUUGUUCUUGGUUUCACCACUUUCUCUGCCCUUUCUUGCAGUGACUCACUGGUCAUAACAAAUACUGGUCCUCCCCACUCUGUCUGAGAAUGCAACAACCUUUUGGUCUCUACCGUCAGGCCAAUAGCCUAUUGUAGAAAAUGGCCAAAGUUUCAGAUCAGGAUUAUAGACAUAGCAGAUGACCUAGUGACUUAAGCAACAUAAUCCAUGAGAAACUGAAGCAGAAGAGCUAAAUAAUGAUCAUCUUAUUAUCCAAAAACCCCUGUGCUACCUGCUGGAGUCUAUAUUUAGUAUUCACCAUUUAGUAACUAAGAAUAAGUCCAAGAAGACCCUGAUCAGGAUAUAUCAUUUUUAAUUGUGAAUAUCAUGGAUAAGACAACGCCUUAUAAUUACAGUCACCCAACACUUUUGUCAACAGUAUAGAUGAGGAAACUAGGUCUAUAAUUUCUGAGUAUCAUUCUGAUACAGUAAGCACAUUCUGAAGCAGUAAGCACUUUCUAUAAGAAGUUUAGCCCUUCCUACACUUUAAUGCAAAUGGAAGGUACCCACCAAAGAUAGAACCAAGGAAUCCCUGAGACUAUCUUAGAAUUU